rnacentral:rRNA from 1 species
UACGGAGGGUGCAAGCGUUGUCCGGAAUCACUGGGCGUAAAGGGCGCGUAGGCGGCAAUUCAAGUCAGCUGUGAAAUCUCCGGGCUUAACUCGGAACGGUCAGCUGAUACUGUUUUGCUAGAGUGCAGAAGGGGCAAUCGGAAUUCUCGGUGUAGCGGUGAAAUGCGUAGAUAUCGAGAGGAACACCUGAGGUGAAGACGGGUUGCUGGGCUGACACUGACGCUGAUGCGCGAAAGCCAGGGUAGCAAACGGG